GUCUUUAAAAUGGUGUAAAAUAGUCAUAUGUUUGAAAAAUUGAAGUUUUCGGAUUUUCGAGGACUUUGUAUUUCGCGCCACGCCCAUCAUUGGAUAUUGGAGCAGGUGUUCCGCUAGUGGAACGUCUAGAUGUAAGAGUUUUAAGGUUAAAAGUUAAAGAUGGAGGGGGGAAUUACUUUAAAAAUGUCAGAGAUAUUACCUUGUGUUAAACACAUUUUAGUCUGAAAAAAGUAAACAAUAAAUGUGAACCCAAAAUAUCUGCAUUAUUUUGACUACCUAUCAUAAAAGUCAUUUUGGAACAUUAAAGUCAAUGUCUUGAAGUACUCAACACCAGAUAUUAUUGUUUUAAACACACAUUUAUUUUUUCUAACCCAAAUUAUUGAUACAUUCUUUCCCACUUUACUCAGUGUCUUGAAAGGUUCAUGAGAAGAAAUGAUGAAGGGACAAAAGAUCCAUAGACAUUAAAACCAUUAGAUGGUGAUUGCGCUGACGUCAUCCACAUAUUCCUAUGGAAAACUCCCGAUGGCUGCGCAUCAUCAGAGAUACUUUUGAGGAUAUGGGAAACCAGAGACACUUGAGGAGAUGGGAAACUCAUUAACGCCCUUUGUUGCCCAUGCGUCGUCAAUGGGCUGAGCGGUACAUUCAGGGCGAUUCUAGGACAAGUAGAGCUCUCCGUCAAGGAGUAAAAUGGAGUCAAUUAGGCGCGAGCUCAAAAACCCAACAUUAGCAUGAAUUUUGUAAACAAGAAGUACACCAUUGCAAAUCUUUUCCGAGAUGUAACUUGUUCUCUGCAAUAUUGUAUAGUUUUGGAAUCGUGACAUUACAUACUAUCACUGAAAAUAGGCAGUUUUCUUGACUCAUACCCUGACUUUGAGAAGGGAUUGGGUGAUUAGUUUAGCAGCCACAUGAUGCUGCAUGACAAUGAGAACACAAUUGGUCGACAGUGUGCUGUGUGGACGUUUUAUAUUUAAUUAUUCAUUGCCUAACGUGAUUCCUUUCUCCACUAUCUCAGGCGUCAUGUUGCUGAAUGGCACAAAAAAAUUGCUAAGAAUCAUGAUGAAAAUGGCCAUAACUAGCAAAGGAUCAUGGUCGUUGUAGUCAUUUUCAUCCUGCCUGAGAGUCAACCUUAAUGGUUGUUUAGCAACACAACCGACGCCUAAGCAACUAUUUGGCAAAACAGACAGGGUUGGCAGUUGACUUAGAUUGUUGACUAUGGAAAGCCAUUUGGGUCUUUGCGUGUAAAAAAACAAAAAAA
rnacentral:lncRNA from 1 species